UGCGUAGGCGGGUUUGUAAGUCAGUGGUGAAAGCCCGGAGCUCAACUCCGGAACUGCCAUUGAUACUGCAAAUCUUGAAUAUAGUUGAGGUAGGCGGAAUAUAGCAUGUAGCGGUGAAAUGCUUAGAUAUGCUAUAGAACACCGAUUGCGAAGGCAGCUUACUAAACUAUUAUUGACGCUGAGGCACGAAAGCGUGGGGAGCGAACAGGAUUAGAUACCCUGGUAGUCC
rnacentral:rRNA from 1 species